AUUGAACGCUGGCGGCAGGCCUAACACAUGCAAGUCGAGCGGAGCGGCGGAAGGGUGAGGAAUGCCUAGGAAGCUGCCUGGUAGGGGGGGAUAACGUCCGGAAACGGGCGCUAAUACCGCAUACUAUCAGAUGAGCCUAGGGCGGAUUAGCUAGUUGGUGGGGUAAAGGCCUACCAAGGCGACGCUCCGUAACUGGUCUGAGAGGAUGAUCAGUCACACUGGACCUUAUACACGUUCCAGACUCCUACGGGAUGCCGCAGUGGGGAAUAUUGGACAUUGGGCGAAAGCCUGAUCCAGUCAUGCCGCGUGUGUGAAGAAGGUCUUCGGAUUUUAAAGCACUUUAAGUUGGGAGGCGUUACCAACAGAAUAAGCACCGGCUAACUUCGUGCCAGCAGCCGCGGUAAUUC
rnacentral:rRNA from 1 species